GCUGUUGUGUGCAGAGGUAAUAUUGGGCUGUGAUGUAUUUGAGGUUAACUAAGCCCGUUCUGCGUUGGGCUAUAUUGAGAAAUGCUGAUUUGAAGUGGACACGCUGCUGCCACACUUGGGGUACUGCUGAUUGGAUUUAAAAUAAAAUGCUUGAGGCUGAAAUGCAAUGAGCGUUGCUAUUGCAUCAAACAAGUUGGGCUGUCAAGGUUUGGGUUGCAAUUUAGUGGGACGUUGCCGUUUUGAUGUCUGAAGCUGAGUUUGGGUCCAAUUUAGUGGAACGACGUCGUCUGGUGUAUCAUUUCUUCCUUGGGGGUCCUUGUUCCAGCAAACAUUCGAGACAAAAGUUGCCCGAGACAUCCAUUCUGAGAAAAAAAUCACCCGAGCUAGGGCUUGGAGAAAAAGCGAGAAGAAGAGCGGUUGGUGCCACUGACUUGAAGCUGACCAGAGGUUCUGAGGAGCUGACCGAAGUUCAAGUUGAUCGGAGGGCUUGAAAAAGAGAUCAAACAGGCGAGGAUUGGUGACCAUCCGAUGCAGAGAGCUAAACGUUCAAGCUACGAAGGUUUCUCAUUUUCCAGAUUUUUUUCUUUGUUUCGUUUUCUGACCCUAUAAAAGGGGCCUUUCUAAAUAGAAAUAGGGGGGCUUUUCAAAUAAACUUACACAGAGUCAUUUUCCAUAUUUUUUCGUUUUUAGAGAGCGACGUGAGAGUUCUAGGGUUUUAUCGCAUAUCCGGCAGAUUCGAUUUCUCGUGUUGUUGCUCAUUUCUUUUUGGUAUAUUCUUGUAAUCUUGUUCUUGUUAAUAAUUUUUUGUGAUGUUU
rnacentral:lncRNA from 1 species